GAUGAACGCUGACAGAAUGCUUAACACAUGCAAGUCGAUGGGGAAGUGGUGCUUGCACCAUGGCAACCCUGGCGGACGGGUGAGUAACGCGUAAGGGACUUACCUGCAGGACUGGGAUAACAGGGGGAAACUCCUGACAAGACCGGAUAAUGUCAUGGAGCUGCAUGGCUUUAUGAUGAAAGGAGACGCCUGCGGAGAGCCUUGCGUCCUAUUAGCUAGUUGGUGAGGUAAUGGCUCACCAAGGCGAAGAUGGGUAGCCGGCCUGCGGGGGGGGGCGCCCACAGGGGGAAGAGAAAACGGCCUCUACUACUAGGGGGGGCAGCAGGGGGGAAUAUUGGACAAUGGGGGCAACCCUGAUCCAGCAAUUCUGGGGGAAAGAAGAAGGUUUUCGGAUUGAAAAGUGCUUUCGGAAGGGAAGAAGUAAGGGACGGUACCUGGAAAAAAAGCGCCGGCUAAAUACGU
rnacentral:rRNA from 1 species